GACGAACGCUGGCGGCGUGCUUAACACAUGCAAGUCGAACGAUGAAGGAGAGCUUGCUCUCCGGAUUAGUGGCGAACGGGUGAGUAACACGUGACUAACCUGCCCCUUUCCCUGGGAUAACGCUCCGAAAGGAGUGUUAAUACCGGAUACGAACUCUGAACACAUGUUCGGAGUUGGAAAGUUUUUCGGAGAGGGAUGGAGUCGCGGCCUAUCAGCUUGUUGGUAAGGUAACGGCGCACCAAGGCGACGACGGGUAGCCGGCCUGAGAGGGCGACCGGCCACACUGGGACUGAGACACGGCCCAGACUCCUACGGGAGGCAGCAGUGGGGAAUAUUGCACAAUGGGCGAAAGCCUGAUGCAGCGACGCCGCGUGAGGGAUGAAGGUCUUCGGAUUGUAAACCUCUUUCAGUAGGGACGAAGCGAAAGUGACGGUACCUAAAGAAGAAGCACCGGCUAACUACGUGCCAGCCGCCGCGGUAA
rnacentral:rRNA from 1 species